rnacentral:tRNA from 1 species
AAAAACUUAGUUAAACCCCAUAACAUUAACUUGUCAAGUUAGAAUUACCCUGCUUGGGUCGUUUUUG